AUUCAUUAUAGGGGCAUCUGAUGAAAUUGGAACAAUACAGAGAAGAUUAGCAUGACCCCUUCGCAAGGAUGACACGCACAAAUCGUGGAAUGGUCUACAUUUAA
rnacentral:snRNA from 1 species